rnacentral:rRNA from 1 species
UACGGAGGAUGCAAGCGUUAUCCGGAAUGAUUGGGCGUAAAGGGUCCGCAGGUGGCAAUGUGUGUCUGCUGUCAAAGAAUGAGGCUUAACCUCAUCAAGGCAGUGGAAACUACAUAGCUAGAGUACGGUCGGGGUAGAAGGAAUUCCUGGUGUAGCGGUGAAAUGCGCAGAUAUCAGGAGGAACACCGAUGGCGAAGGCAGGUCUCUGGGCCACUACUGACGCUGAGAAGCGAAAGCGUGGGGAGCGAACAGG